rnacentral:rRNA from 1 species
AGCCUAGCUUGCUAGGUGAAUUAGUGGCGGACGGGUGAGUAAUAUAUCGGAACGUGUCCAUUAAUGGGGGAUAACUAGUCGAAAGGCUGGCUAAUACCGCAUACGCCCUGAGGGGGAAAGCUAGGGAUUCUUCGGAACCUGGCGUUAAUGGAGCGGCCGAUACCUGAUUAGCUAGUUGGUGGGGUAAAGGCCUACCAAGGCAACGAUCAGUAGCUGGUCUGAGAGGACGACCAGCCACACUGGGACUGAGACACGGCCCAGACUCCUACGGGAGGCAGCAGUGGGGAAUUUUGGACAAUGGGGGAAACCCUGAUCCAGCCAUUCCGCGUGAGUGAAGAAGGCCUUCGGGUUGUAAAGCUCUUUCGCAAGGGAAGAAACGAUAUAGGUUAAUAGCUUAUGUUAAUGACGGUACCUUGACAAGAAGCACCGGCUAACUACGUGCCAGCAGCCGCGGUAAUACGUAGGGUGCAAGCGUUAAUCGGAAUUACUGGGCGUAAAGCGUGCGCAGGCUGUUUUGUAAGUCAGAUGUGAAAUCCCCGAGCUCAACUUGGGAACUGCGUUUGAAACUACAAGACUAGAAUAGGUCAGAGGGGGGUAGAAUUCCAUGUGUAGCAGUGAAAUGCGUAGAGAUGUGGAGGA